GACGAACGCUGGCGGCGUGCCUAAUACAUGCAAGUCGAACGCAGUGGGGACGGGUGAGUAACACGUGGGUAACCUCCCAUCAGAGGGGAUAACACUUGGAAACAGGUGCUAAACCGAUACUGAUGGAUGAACCCGCGGUGCAUUAGCUCGUUGGUGAGGUAACGGCUCACCAAGGCCACGAUUCAUAGCCGACCUGGGAGGGUGAUCGGCCACACUGGGACUGAGACACGGCCCAGACUCCUACGGGAGGGAGCAGUAGGGAAUCUGGGGCAAUGGACGAGAGUCUGACCGAGCAACGCCGCGUGAGUGAAGAGGGUUGUCGGAUCGUAAAGCUCUGUUGUUAGAGAAGCGGUAACUAACCAGAAAGGGACGGCUAACUACGUGCCAGCCGCCGCGGUAAUUC
rnacentral:rRNA from 1 species